GAUGAACGCUAGCUACAGGCUUAACACAUGCAAGUCGAGGGGAAACGGCAUUGAGUGCUUGCACUCUUUGGACGUCGACCGGCGCACGGGUGAGUAACGCGUAUCCAACCUUCCCAUUACUGUGGGAUAACCUGCCGAAAGGCAGACUAAUACCGCAUAGUCUUCGAUGACGGCAUCAGAUUUGAAGUAAAGAUUUAUCGGUAAUGGAUGGGGAUGCGUCUGAUUAGCUUGUUGGCGGGGUAACGGCCCACCAAGGCUACGAUCAGUAGGUGUUCUGAGAGGAAGGUCCCCCACAUUGGAACUGAGACACGGUCCAAACUCCUACGGGAGGCAGCAGUGAGGAAUAUUGGUCAAUGGACGGAAGUCUGAACCAGCCAAGUAGCGUGCAGGAUGACGGCCCUAUGGGUUGUAAACUGCUUUUGUAUGGGGAUAAGGUUAGGGACGUGUCCCUAUUUGCAGGUACCAUACGAAUAAGGACCGGCUAAUUCCGUG
rnacentral:rRNA from 1 species